UGUGUGUACACCGUGUGCACCCCCCUCCACACUCGAGUGAGCAUAUACGUCUCUUGUGUUUUUUUCUUUAAUUUUUAUUCUUUUGGUUUUUUUCACAAGGCUUUUUCUCUAGCCCUGGAUGUCCCAAAUUCACCCUACAGACCAGGCUAGCCUUGAGCUCAGAGGUCCGACUCCCAAGCACUGGGAUUAAAGGUGUGUGCCACCACACCUGACUUUUUUUUCUACUGAGUUUGUGUUUCUGUGUAUGUACAUUUGUGCUUUUUAUUUUUUCUUAUUUAUUUAUUUGCCUCUUUUCAAGAAGGCACGGAAUUAAUUGGAUGGAGAUCUGGAGGAGACUAGGACAGGAAAUUGUAAACAAUGUUUUUAUUUUUGAGUUUGGUCAUUCAUCAAUCUGAGGCGUCAGGCACGGAGUUAAUUGGAUGGAGAUCUGGAGGAGACUAGGACAGGAAAUUGUAAACAAUGUUUUUAUUUUUGAGUUUGGUCAUUCAUCAAUCUGAGGCGUCUACACACCAGUUAAGUCACAGCUCCUGGCCUUUGUAAGGAAAGCCGAGCUUGGUAUGAGCUCUAUUCCACCCCUAUCUUAAUUGCUUCUCUUUGCUCCGUGUCCUUAGAUGUAGCUCAACUCUGCUCAUUUACUUCGUGAAGAAUUCCUAGACUGCUCCUUUGUUAUGAUUUCCUAUGAUAUUACAUGCUAUUUUCCUUCUAUUGUACUUCUUACAGCUACAGGUUCGUUUUGCUUUUGUGAUAAGUAUAUUUUCCAAUAACAAGCUACACGAAGGUAUGAGCUACGUUUAUUUUUGCUAGACAAAUGGUUAAAGUACAGCUCAGUAAUCCAGCAAUGGGGGAGGGUGCAUAGCAAGGAGCAAGGGUUACAAAGCGUCCGGAACCAAAAAGGCGGGGGAGAGUAGUCUGAAUUGGGUUAUGAGGCCCGCGAGGUGCCUCACCUCAGCCAUUGAACUCGAAUUGCUGGCCGUGAGUCUGUUCCAAGCCCCGGCGAGGGAGGCAUCCGCCCACCCGGGGGCUUCUCCUGCCCAGUCUGCCCACGCGUGGAGCCCUGCUCUCUGGGAACUCACCUCCCCACUCGGGGAGAGCCCGGUUAGGGCCGCGGGAGGCCCCAGUCUCAGACCUUCCCAGGGGCCGAGAGAGUGACGAGCACUCAGCGCGUGGCCCCGCUGAUGAGCUUCCCCCGCCCACUAGGAGUGUGAAGACCUGCCGCCAUAAUAAGACUCCAAAAGACAGUGAAUUUAACACUUACGGUGACUUCCCACAAAGCACAGCGUGUAAUUUGCAUGCGCUCUAGCCCAGGCUCCAGCUCCGGACCAGAAGCCCGCGCAUCCCGGCAAAGGGUGAUGACGUCGUCCUUCAAGCGCUAUGGCGCCGCGGCGGCGGAGAUCUGGCUGUGGAAGACGAGUGCUAAAUGAAGCCAAGAGAGUUGAUAAUGGCAACAGAGCAACAGAUGACUCUCCUCCUGGCAAGAAAGUGCGCACGUGCCAGAAAAAGGGGCCUGCGGCUGGAGGGGAGGACACAGACAGGACAAAAGGCAAGCAAGACUCUGUGAAGACCCUGCUCGUAAAGGGCCGAGCUCCUGUGGACCCAGAGUGCACAUCCAAGGUCGGAAAGGCUCAUGUGUAUUGUGAAGGAGAUGAUGUCUAUGACGUCAUGUUAAAUCAAACCAAUCUCCAGUUCAACAACAACAAGUACUACCUUAUCCAGCUGUUAGAAGAUGAUGCCCAGCAGAACUUCAGUGUGUGGAUGAGGUGGGGCCGAGUUGGGAAAACAGGGCAGCACAGCUUGGUGGCUUGUUCUGGUGACCUCAACAAAGCAAAAGAAAUAUUUCAGAAAAAAUUCCUUGACAAAACUAAAAACAAUUGGGAGGAUCGUGAGAACUUUGAGAAAGUACCUGGAAAAUACGACAUGUUGCAGAUGGACUAUGCUGCCAGCACUGAGGAUGAAAAUAAAACAAAACAAGAGGAAACUUCGAAGCCAGAGUCACAGCUGGAUCUUCGAGUCCAGGAGCUGCUAAAGUUGAUCUGUAACGUGCAGACCAUGGAAGAGAUGAUGAUUGAGAUGAAGUAUGACACCAAGAGGGCCCCACUCGGAAAACUGACAGUGGCGCAGAUCAAGGCAGGCUACCAGUCUCUCAAGAAGAUUGAGGAUUGUAUCCGUGCUGGCCAGCAUGGGCGAGCGCUUGUUGAGGCAUGUAAUGAAUUCUACACCAGGAUCCCUCAUGACUUUGGACUCUCCAUCCCUCCUGUAAUCCGGACAGAGAAAGAACUGUCAGACAAAGUAAAACUGCUGGAGGCAUUGGGAGACAUUGAAAUUGCCCUUAAGCUGGUGAAGUCAGAGCGCCAAGGCCUAGAACACCCACUGGACCAACACUAUAGAAACCUACGUUGUGCUUUGCGUCCUCUGGACCAUGAAAGUCAUGAGUUCAAAGAUGCUGCUCUGGCAUGGUUCCAGGCUGAGUAACUGGGUGGGGAUCCUGAGCCACGGACUUAGAGUCGCCCCACCUGAGGCUCCCAUCACAGGUUAUAUGUUUGGGAAAGGAAUCUACUUUGCUGACAUGUCGUCCAAGAGUGCCAAUUACUGCUUUGCUUCUCGCCUGAAGAAUACAGGAUUGCUUCUUCUGUCAGAG